GGUUACAGCUCAGUGGUAGAGUGCUUGCCUAGCAUGUGUGAGGCACUGGGUUCGAUUCUCAGCACCA
rnacentral:tRNA from 1 species